rnacentral:rRNA from 1 species
UCUGCAACUCGACUGCGUGAAGGUGGAGUCGCUAGUAAUCGCGGAUCGGCAACGCCGCGGUGAACGCGUUCCCGGGCCUUGUACACACCGCCCGUCAAGUCAUGAAAGUGGGCAGCACCCGAAGACGGUGGCCUAACCCUUGUGGGGGGAGCCGUCUAAGGUGAGGCUCGUGAUUGGGACUAAGUCGUAACAAGGUACC